GCCGGGUGUGGUGGUGCACGCCUGUAAUCCCAGCUACUCAGGAGGCUGAGGCAGGAGAAUCGCUUGAACCCAGGAGGCUGAGGUUGCAGUGAGCCAAGACCACACCACUGCACUCCAGCCUGGGUGACAGAGUGAGACUCUGUCUCAA
rnacentral:SRP_RNA from 1 species